rnacentral:rRNA from 1 species
AUUGAACGCUGGCGGCAGGCCUAACACAUGCAAGUAGAACGAGUGGCAGACGGGUGAGUAAUGUAUGGGAAACUGCCAGAUGGAGGGGGAUAACUACUGGAAACUGUAGAUAAUACCGCAUAACAUCGUGUGUGCCCAGAUGGGAUUAGCUAGUAGGUGGGGUAAUGGCUCACCUAGGCGACGAUCUCUAGCUGGUCUGAGAGGAUGACCAGCCACACUGGAACUGAGACACGGUCCAGACUCCUACGGGAGGCAGCAGUGGGGAAUAUUGCACAAUGGGCGCAAGCCUGAUGCAGCCAUGCCGCGUGUAUGAAGAAGGCCUUCGGGUUGUAAAGUACUUUCAGCGAGGAGGCGUUACUCGCAGAAGAAGCACCGGCUAACUCCGUGCCAGCAGCCGCGGUAAUUC